GCAUCCGUAGCUCAGCUGGAUAGAGUACUCGGCACGAACCGGCGAGCGGUCGGAGGUUCGAAUCCUCCCGGAUGCACCA
rnacentral:tRNA from 1 species